UUGAGCGCUGGCGGCAGGCCUAACACAUGCAAGUCGAGCGGAUGACGGGAGCUUGCUCCUUGAUUCAGCGGCGGACGGGUGAGUAAUGCCUAGGAAUCUGCCUGGUAGUGGGGGACAACGUUUCGAAAGGAACGCUAAUACCGCAUACGUCCUACGGGAGAAAGCAGGGGACCUUCGGGCCUUGCGCUAUCAGAUGCGGCUAGGUCGGGUUAGCUAGUUGGUGGGGUAAUGGCUCACCAAGGCGACGAUCCGUAACUGGUCUGAGAGGAGGGACAGGCACACUGGAACUGAGACACGGUCCAGACUCCUACGGGAGGCAGGAGUGGGGAAAAGUGGACAAUGGGCGAAAGCCUGGUCCAGCCAUGCCGCGUGUGGGAAGAAGGUCUUCGGAUUGUAAAGCACUUUUAGUUGGGAGGAAGGGCAGUAAGUUAAUACCUUGCUGUUUUGACGUUACCGACAGAAUAAGCACCGGCUAACUCUGUGCCAGCCGCCGCGGUAA
rnacentral:rRNA from 1 species